rnacentral:rRNA from 1 species
ACGACGCUGGCGGCGUGCUUAACACAUGCAAGUCGAGCGAUGAAGCUUCUCGGAAGUGGAUAGCGGCGGACGGGUGAGUAACACGUGGGUAACCUGCCUCAUAGAGGGGAAUAGCCUUUUGAAAGGAAGAUUAAUACCGCAUAAGAUUGUAGUACCGCAUGGUACAGCAAUUAAAGGAGUAAUCCGCUAUGAGAUGGACCCGCGUCGCAUUAGCUAGUUGGUGAGGUAACGGCUCACCAAGGCGACGAUGCGUAGCCGACCUGAGAGGGUGAUCGGCCACAUUGGGACUGAGACACGGCCCAGACUCCUACGGGAGGCAGCAGUGGGGAAUAUUGCACAAUGGGGGAAACCCUUGAUGCUGCAACGCCGCGUGAGUGAUGACGGUCUUCGGAUUGUAAAACUCUGUCUUUGGGGACGAUAAUGACGGUACCCAAGGAGGAAGCCACGGCUAACUACGUGCCAGCCGCGGC